GUCUUCUCGGAUAGCUCAGUUGGUUAGAGUGUUGUGCUUACAAUGCCAAGGUUGCAGGUUCGACUCCCAUAUGGGACA